rnacentral:rRNA from 1 species
AAUAAACUAAAUAAAAUUACAUUUAAAUCCACCUUCAAUAAAAUUUUUCAAUUUUAUAUUCAUUUAAAUAAAUUUAUUGUAAUCCAUUAUAUUCUUAAUUAUAAUCUACAUCUUGAUCUGAAUUAAUUUUUUAUUAUAAUUUUCAAAUAUUAUAAUUUAAUAAAAAAUAUUUUUUUAACAACGAUAUAUAAAAUUUUAAAUUAAGUAAAUUUAUUCGUGGAUUAUCAAUUAUUAAACAGAUUCCUCUAAAUGAACUAAAAUACCGCCAUAUUAUUUAAGUUUCAAUAAAUAAUUAUUUACUAUUUUAGUAUUAUAAUUUAAAUUUUUAAUAAUAGGGUAUCUAAU